AAAGAGGUACCAAAGUGGGGAAUGGUGACAGCCUCUACCCUGGGUGCCCACAACAUAGCCCUGGAUUGUUUCUUUGCAGGUGGCUUCGUCCUGUUCAUCGCCAACUAGGGGAAGCGAAUGAGGAGUUUGCACUCCGUGUACAACAGGUGGUCGGGUGCACAGACAGGGUGGAGGCGGGGUCCCUGCUUAGGAGGAGAGGGAGGAAAGCUUGAGAUCUUGACACUUCCAGUCUUCCAAUUCUCCCUAGCUGGUGGCCAAGGAAUUGGGCCAGACAGGGACACGGCUCACUCCAGCUGACAAAGCAGAGCACAUGAAGCGACAAAGACACCCCAGAUUGCGCCCCCAGUCAGCCCAGUCUUCUUUCCCUCCCUCCCCUGGUCCUUCUCCUGAUGUGCAACUGGCAACUCUGGCUCAGAGAGUCAAGGAAGUUUUGCCCCAUGUGCCAUUGGGUGUCAUCCAGAGAGACCUGGCCAAGACUGGCUGUGUAGACUUGACUAUCACUAAUCUGCUUGAGGGGGCCGUAGCUUUCAUGCCUGAAGACAUCACCAAGGGAACUCAGUCCCUACCCACAGCCUCUGCCUCCAAGGUGAGACCCAGGAAAUGGUCAGAUCCAAGUGUUGGGGUGAGUUGGGGGCAGGCUAUGUACUCCCUUAUCCCUGACCUUUCUUUUUUGAUCCUGAGACCCUAGCAUAGUGCCUCUCUUGCAAAGUAGGCAUUCGAUGCGUGUUUAAUGAUGAUGACUCCGCAAGCCCUCUGACAUUGUGAUCACCUCAGUUUCCCAGCUCUGGCCCGGUGACCCCUCAGCCAACAGCCCUAACAUUUGCCAAGUCUUCCUGGGCCCGGCAGGAGAGCCUGCAGGAGCGCAAGCAAGCACUAUAUGAAUACGCAAGAAGGAGAUUCACAGAGAGACGAGCCCAGGAGGCUGACUGAGCUCAAAGGAACAGGAUGGCACCCAGAGCCGCAGGACGGAGACUGGGGGCAGCC
rnacentral:lncRNA from 1 species